rnacentral:tRNA from 1 species
CGGGGUAUGGCGUAGCUUGGUAGCGCGCUCGCCUGGGGGUGAGAGGUCGCAGGUUCGAAUCCUGCUACCCCGACCA